GGUGCGUUGGAUGAGCGGUUUAGUCUCUGGUCUGCAAAACCAGCUAGGGCGGUUCGACUCCGCCACGCACCUCCA
rnacentral:tRNA from 1 species